UAAAGAUCAUCCAGUUACCCCCCCCUCCUCCGCCAUGGGCAGUGACAUCCCACUAGAUCAGGCUGCCUAAGGCCCCAUCCAACCUGGCCUUGAACACCUCCAGGGAUGGGGCAUUCACAGCUUCCCUGGGCAACCUGUGCCAGUGCCUCACCACUCUCAUGGUGAAGAAAUUCUUCCUAAUGUUCAGUCUAAAUCUGCCCCUCUCCAGUUUAUACCCAUUGCCCCUCAUCCUAUCAUUACAAGCCUUUGUGAACAGUCCCUCCCCAGCUUUCUUGUAGGUUCCUUUCAGGUACUGGAAGGUCGCUACUUCAGAAUGUGGUUAAAAUUAACUUUUGUGAAGACUGAACCAAAUGGCUCUGAGAACUUCAGUCUUUAUCAUAUGUUCUCCUUCCUGCUAUUGGCCAGCACUUUCCUUUUGCCAUUCUCUCAUUUUUGAUACAUUUACAAAUACUUUUAUUACUAGUUCUGUGUCACUUGAUAGCAGUAUGCUAUGCUGCUGCCUUAGCCUGUCUGUGGGCUGUGUCGUUCAUUUACUUCUGUCCUCAGGUGCAUGCUUGGGUUUCCCUGCUCUGUAAACUGCCUUUGAUUCUGAAAUGCUUGCAGGCAUCUGCAGGUGCAAUGGCCCUUUGCUACACUGUCUGCUCUUCCUUCACAUUAGGAUCUGACGUUCAACAAUCUUUCUUUGACUAAGCACUAGUGUCCUCCACUCCUUUCUCCCUCGCGUUAUCCUAACUAGAAGCCAGCACCAGCUGGGGUUCCUUUUUUUCAGGAAAGUACAUUGCAUCAUUUCACAAUCAGUUUGGUGGAAAUAGUCUGUCAUCUCUCAUGCUCUCAGGCAGUUACCCUACCCCAUGCCCCUUAUUCAGAGAUGAAUCUAAACCAUCCUAGAUGACAACAUUACCUCCUCAUCUUCACAAAUCCUUCCAUUGACAUCAGAUUUCUCUCUGCUUUGAUUUGAUUAGGUAUCAGGAUCGGUAAGGCACAGUUCAUGCCUAGUUAUUAGGGGAACAUCACUAUAUUUCUGCUUCUUCGCUCCCUUUCAGCACAAUUCACACUAAUCAUGUCUUGCCUGCAUCUGUGAUGCUGAGGGAAUAGAUGCAGGUAAAAUACUGUACUGAAUACAGCCCCCUUUUCCCUCAAUGAAAUACUUCCAAGCUCAGGGAGCUGCUUCAGCUUUCACAGAAUAUUAUUCUUCAAGGUGCAGACCCUCAGUUGUUUCCAUUGCCCGACAAUAUUUUGAUUUUUGCAGUCACUUCUGCUGAUGAUGAACAGCAGCUCCCUCGUGCCGUCACCUUCCCUCUGGCUUCUCCCCAGCCAAGGGAACAUGACAGGCCAGCCCUAAGCGGUCUGUGAUGGAGCUGCAGCCACAUGUGUCUUUGAACUCCGCAGUGCCUCUGCUUUAGAGUCCCUCAUGGGGCUGUUCCCACCUCAGGUUCCACUUCCUUAGUAGUUCUUCAGCCAUCCCUCCCUCCUGAACCCCUUUUUUUUGCAUCACUCCUUCUCCUUCUUUCUGGAAUGCACCAUGUAUCUUCUGUGAGUAAACAAAUCUCCCUGCACCACACUGAGCUGGUAUUAAAGAAAUGUCUCUUUCUUUCAAAAAGAUUCAUGUGGACCUCUGAGAUAAAAGUGCAAAAGCUUCCCUUGCUCCUUGGCUUACUCCCUCAGUCAGCGAUCAGUUCUGUUCUCUGGUUAGGACACUGCAGGUGGUGUUCUUGUCUCCUUGCUGUUUGGUUUCAGGAGAGAUGAGUCUGUUCUUAGUGGCACUGCUACACGCGUGUGACCUAGCCAGCACAGGUCAAGCUUCUUCACAUCUGCAGGGUGUUGUUGCCAUGAGUCAUGCAGAUAAAAACAAUGCUAAAAACAACGCCUCCAUAUCAGAGAUGGGAAGCUCCUUGAUACCCUCCCUGCUCCUGCCCUUGAGCUGUAUCUGUGUGGCUGUCCAGAGACCUACAGAUGGAGAGAAGGGCUGGACAGUGGCUUCUGUGGUCCCUGCCAAUCCUGAUGUGGUUCUGGACUCAGCAUAUAGAGGAGAAACAGUUUCACUUGACAGAAUUUCAGACACCUCUGUUCACUGGUGCAGGCACGGCUGAUGCGUGUGCCUGUGCAGCUCUGGGGUGAUGGAAGGAUAACGACUCACAAACCUCCUUGGAAGAAAGCAACAUGAAUAUGUGCCUGAGGUAGAUAGAUAGUCUAUAAAGUGUGAAUUCAGUUCCCAGCUAUGCUUUCAUGCCCAGUUUAUCAGAGCUGCUAUGAGAACAGACAGAGGUGAUGAAAUUGAAGUCCCUUCAACAAUCGUCUCACAUGGAUUUUAAAUAAAAGAACCUUGGUUUCUCAAAGGUAAUAUCUUGGCUGGCAAACCAUACCGCCUUGUUUUUUUUUGUGUGAAUGAACAGAUGUCUCAGGGAACUGGGCUUAACUUUGCCAAGUUUCUAUUGAGAUGGGAAGACUGUGAAACUGAGGAGCAUUUUGUCAGAAUGUAUUGUCCUCAGAGAAUUCAGAGUGGCUUGCUGUAAGACAGGUAUUGCAUUUCAUUAUGUAUUUGUUUUUGUAGAAAUAUGGAAUCUAAGAUGGAAAACUCAGAAUUUUGCCAGUAUUAACAUUUACUUUACCAAGAAACACAUGCGUACAUUCUCAAAACUCAUAUUUGAGAAUAUCCUUUGUGUCUAGAGAGCACUGACAUAUAGGCGUAUAUGUUAGACAUUACAAACUUCAGUUUGUAAUAAUCAGUUCUACUGAACCUAACAGCCUUAGUAUAAGGUAAAUCAGCUGCAGAAAAACCCAGAUAUACUAGGCUUUUGCUCCCCUGGGCAUUGUGCUCUCUUGUAACUUCCUUCCAAUAACUUUAGAGCCCUUUGAUCAAUUCCAAAUAAAUUUGACAAAACAGUGAAGUCCUUGGCGCUAUUUAGUUCUUCCACAUCUGGUGGGCACAGAGGAGACACACUCACUGAACUGAGCAAAAUAGUGUUGUGUGGAUUCACCAGUUCUUUGUAUUAUUUGGGCUGUUGCCUGGCUGGUCAGCAAGAAAGUCUGAACUGCUUGUGUAAGGGUUGUCAGAGGAUACAGGAGGGAAGUGGACUAUGGAAAUGUUGGAGGCAGCUGAGAUGCAGGGGAGCAGGAGGGCAGAGGGAAUGGGUUGAAGGUAACCCCGGUGAUAUGGGGAACUGAGACCCUAUUGGGGGCAAUCACACAGUAAGUGGAAUCAUAGCAACAUAGAAUCGCCAGAUUGGAAAAGACCUUUUGGAUCACAGAGUCCAACCAUUCCUGUCAACCACUAACCCAUGUCCCUGAGAACAUCAUCUACCCGUCUUUUAAAUACCUCUAGGGAUGGUGACUCAGCCACCUCCCUGGGCAGCCUCUGCCAGUGCCCUAUGACCCUUUCCGUGAAAAUUUUUUUUCUGAUCAAAAUGGAAGGGGAAAUCUAGAAGAGCUCUUAUCUUCCAGGUCCUGAUUUCUGCUCAGUAUUUCAUCUUAAUAUUUUUUCUCAGCUUUUUUGAUUCCUAAACUCCAAACAGGAAUGAGUGUUCAGUGUGCAGGCUACAGUCAGCAAGGACAAGGAAAAGCAUUCCCCCACCAGACACAAACAUGAGUGUAGCAGUGACAAUAUUCCUAUAAAAUAAUGUGUGCUCAGUCAAUAUAAAAAAAAGUCUAAUAUCUUCUGACCUGUAGGCAGGAUGGCAUCUCUGCUUUAUGCUAGAUUAUAAAAGACUGUGUACUUGCUUUACAAAUAUGUCCCUCUGCACAGUGUCAGCUGUACCAUUAUGAGGAGCAGUUCACCUUCCUCAGCUGCGCUGAGGUUAGUCAGCUGCAACCUCUGCUGCUGAGGAACUCUUCUGCUAGGUCUUGGGGGGGGUUAAUUUUGCCUUCUUUGGCAGAGUGCCUAGGGAGGGAGCUGAAUGAUAGCUGUGAUGGAUUAGUGAGGCUUCAGGGCUAGAGGACUGACUAGAAGUUGAACUUGAUGGAAACUGGGAAAUUGAUGGAAAAUGUGGUAGAGGUGACUACGCCCAUAGAUUCAGCUCCAGCCCACCUGAGGGCCUUGUUGUAUCUCAUUUUGCCCACAUCCACAGCCAUACUAAUCCUGUUAUUUAGGCUGUAAUCAAACAGGACUUUGUUCUGUUACCUAACUACAUUUCAAUGUCUUUGGCUGCAGACAGUGAGAGGUAGCUUAUCCUCUAGAAAGGCAUAGCGAGGGGACCAUUUUUCAGGGAAGCAGGUUUGUCACAGGGACACAAAACUAUCUAGUUUCCUUUCAUCUAAGGUAAGAAAAAAAUAAAAGUAGACAAAGAUCGCUUUGUUGCAGAGCUCCCGUGGGAAGAGUGAUGGGAGUUUGGUGCCUGCCUCUUCUCUAUGCCUUUGGAAACUCUCCUCAGAACAUUUUACUUAUUUGCCUGUUUCUCACCUUUGGCCCUGAAGUAUAUUAAAGUCCAGCAAAUAACAGAGUGCUUAAUUUCGGAAAGCGAAGAGUGGAAUGGGCUAAUAAAGCUCCAAAACAAAGUUCCCCUUUCAGACCGUGGAGCAGAUGGUGGCACCUGUGGCAAUACAUUUCCUUCCCUUCCCACCACUGCUGUAUUAAGAACUAGUGAGGAAAUUUUGCAUCUGAGCUCGUAGUUUGCCGUGAACUUCAGCAAAGCUAUGAUAAUGUUAUUUGUUAAGGGGAUUGGAAAAUAUUCCGAUUGCACUAUUAAACUGUUCUUUAGUUUUUCUUCCAGGUGCUGAGCUUACAGAUUGUUGAGGAUUUCUUUAAGGUUCUUUCUAGAAUCCUUAGAAAAUUAACAAAGCUGCCAAGAUACUCCAGAUGGGUGGGUAAGGACAAGUAAAAACCAGAUGUCCUUCAGUAACAACAAGACUAGAUGUCUGCAAGCAGCUAUCUACUGCAGGUGACUACAGGCAGAGCAGCAGACACCACAGGGUAGGAAGAAAUGGCACAGCUUUAAAGUCUUUCUGAUAGGGUAGAGAAGAAAGAAGCGGAAGCGAUGAAACUGGCAAAGAACGAAGAAUUACCAGGCGGGUGGAAGAAGGAGCAAAUGGUUGGCUGCAAAAGAGAAAGGGGCACUGAAGAGAGCACAGUGUGGUGCUGGUUGCUGAAAAUCAGAGAUUUGUGGGAAGAUUAGAGGAUUCAAGGAUGUCAGAGAGAAGUGAAAGAAACAUCGUGAACAAGAGGAAAAGUGACCUGUCAUUGACCUUUGCAGGCCACCUUCACUAGCCCACGUACAUCUCACCUGUGCAGGCGAGCUGCGGAAUGGUGGGUCUGAAGGAAGGAAAAGAGCUGGAAGAGAAAUGAAAAGAAAGAUGUCUGCAGUAUUUCAUGCUAUACCAGUCAGAGGGAAGCAGAGAGGGCUCAGCAAAGACCCCUGCAGGCUGAUAAAAUGGAAAGGGGACCAUCACAAGUCUUGUAGUUUUCCAGCUGGCUCAGAAUGCUGAUGUUUGAUAUUCCCAGGAUAUCUUUGAUAGCAUCUGUCUGAUGUACUAAUGACAAGAUACUCCAUUCACCACUCAAGAGAGGGAUUAGGGUUUAAAUUGCCAUUCCAGCUUGUCACUCACCAAAGAAUUAAAAUCUUCUUUGAAUAUGGAAUGUACUGAACUCGCGGGAAAGCCUAAGACUAAGGAAAUGAAACUUUAAACAUGAGAUCAUUGAAAGAAAGUUAUGCAUUAGCUGGAGAGUUUUCAGCUUUCCAAGCUGCGUCUGAGAGCCACUGGGCAACAUUAAACAGAGGCUCCUAAGUCAUGCUUCAGCCAGAUUAUCACAAAUACUCUAACCAUUUCCUCCUCUGAGAGGAAUAGUGCAGUAUAGGGACCCCAAGAAAUGGACAGUUUUUAAAUGCUUUAUAUUGCCAAUACGGAAGAGGCUUUGAUCUGUGUUUUUCCUAAUGGAGGAAAAUAACUACUUAUUAUCCUGGUUUUAUCUCUCACGGCUGGCCAUGUUCACCAGUCUGGGUAAGUGGCUGUGGAGAAAAGCACUUUGAAUUUCAUCCGAGCAAAAGUCUAGUGCUGAUAAUGAUGACUUAACAGAUGUGAAGACCAGCUUUCUGUAGUGCAAGCCUGUGAUCUCUGCUAUCUCAGUUGUGCUGUGAGGUUUUUCAGCAGAACAGAGCUGGUAUUGAACUAAAUGUGCACAAUGCUGAAGAGCAGCAGUGUUACUCGGAGUACUCUGGGUUCCUCCACAAAUUACUCACAUUCGUGGUUUUAGAAUGACUGUGAACAAAACCCAACAUUU